rnacentral:ribozyme from 12 species
AAAGAAAGAAAAAGGGAGAAUCAAAAAAGGAAAAAGGAAAAAUGCAAAAAUGCAGCACACCCAAAAUCUCUCCUCUUCUUCUUCUUC